AGAGCGAACGCUGGCGGCAGGCCUAAUACAUGCAAGUCGAACGGAUCCUUCGGGAUUAGUGGCGGACGGGUGAGUAACACGUGGGAACGUGCCCUUUGGUUCGGAACAACUCAGGGAAACUUGAGCUAAUACCGGAUGUGCCCUUCGGGGGAAAGAUUUAUCGCCAUUGGAGCGGCCCGCGUCUGAUUAGCUAGUUGGUGGGGUAAAGGCCUACCAAGGCUACGAUCAGUAGCUGGUCUGAGAGGAUGAUCAGCCACACUGGGACUGAGACACGGCCCAGACUCCUACGGGAGGCAGCAGUAGGGAAUCUUGCGCAAUGGGCGAAAGCCUGACGCAGCCAUGCCGCGUGAAUGAUGAAGGUCUUAGGAUUGUAAAAUUCUUUCAGUGGGGACGAUAAUGACGGUACCACAGAAGAACGCCCCGGACUAACUUCGUGCCAGCAGCCGC
rnacentral:rRNA from 1 species